CCCUUAGAUGUUCUGGGCUGCACGCGUGCUACAAUGGCGUUUCCAGCAAGUCUGCGAACCCGAGAGGGCCAGCGGAUCUUCGAAUUGGCGUCGUGAUCGGGACAGUCGAUUGCAAUUAUUUGACUCAAACGAGGAAUUCCUUGUAAUCGCGAUUCAUCAUAUCGCGCUGAAUACGUCCCUGCCCUUUGUACACACCGCCCGUCGCUCCUACCGAUUGAGCGAUCCGGUAAAUGUUUUGGAUCGGUGCCGGGGCGGCUAGCUGCCGGUCGCUACGAAAUUUUGUGAACCUUAUCGCUUAGAGGAAGGAAAAGUCGUAACA
rnacentral:rRNA from 1 species